UACAGAGGUCUCAAGCGUUGUUCGGAUUCAUUGGGCGUAAAGGGUGCGUAGGCGGCGCGGUAAGUCGGGUGUGAAAUCCUGGAGCUCAACUCCAGAACUGCCUUUGAUACUGGCGAUCUUGAGUCCGGGAGAGGUGAGUGGAACUGCGAGUGUAGAGGUGAAAUUCGUAGAUAUUCGCAAGAACACCAGUGGCGAAGGCGGCUCACUGGCCCGGUACUGACGCUGAGGUGCGAAAGCGUGGGGAGCAAACAGG
rnacentral:rRNA from 1 species